AGCGAACGCUGGCGGCGUGCCUAACACAUGCAAGUCGAACGUGAAAAGGGAAACCUGAGUAAAGUGGCGUACGGGUGAGUAACGCGUAGGUAAUCUACCCCAGAAUCUGGAAUAACCUGCCGAAAGGCGGGCUAAUACUGGAUAGAGCGAGGGAACUCGUAAGAGAGUUUUUCGGGAAAGGGAGCCCGCAAGGGCCUUCGUUCUGGGAUGAGCCUGCGUCUCAUUAGCUAGUUGGUAAGGUAACGGCUUACCAAGGCGAUGAUGAGUAGCUGGUCUGAGAGGAUGAUCAGCCACACUGGAACUGAAACACGGUCCAGACUCCUACGGGAGGCAGCAGUGGGGAAUCUUGCGCAAUGGACGAAAGUCUGACGCAGCCACGCCGCGUGAGUGAAGAAGGCCGUCGGGUUGUAAAGCUCUGUCGGAUGGGACGAACAUCUUCAUAGUGAAUAGCUAUGAGGACUGACGGUACCAGCAAAGGAAGCACCGGCUAACUCCGUG
rnacentral:rRNA from 1 species